rnacentral:rRNA from 1 species
GUGAGGAAUAUUGGUCAAUGGACGAGAGUCUGAACCAGCCAAGUCGCGUGAAGGAAGACGGCCCUACGGGUUGUAAACUUCUUUUGUAAGGGAAUAAAUAGUCUUACGCGCUAAGACGUUGCAGGUACCUUACGAAUAAGGAUCGGCUAACUCCGUGCCAGCAGCCGCGGUAAUACGGAGGAUCCGAGCGUUAUCCGGAUUUAUUGGGUUUAAAGGGUGCGCAGGCGGCAUGUUAAGUCGGCGGUGAAAUUUUGCAGCUCAACUGUAAAAGAACCUUCGGAACUGGCAAGCUUGAGUGUGGAUGAAGUAGGCGGAAUUUGUGGUGUAGCGGUGAAAUGCAUAGAUAUCACAAAGAACACCGAUUGCGCAGGCAGCUUACUAAACCAUAACUGACGCUCAUGCACGAAGGCGUGGGGAUCAAACAG